AGUGAACGCUGGCGGCAGGCCUAACACAUGCAAGUCGAACGGCAGCACAGUAAGAGCUUGCUCUUACGGGUGGCGAGUGGCGGACGGGUGAGGAAUACAUCGGAAUCUACUUUUUCGUGGGGGUUAACGUAGGGAAACUUACGCUAAUACCGCAUACGACCUACGGGUGAAAGCAGUGGAUCUUCGGACCUUGCGCGAUUGAAUGAGCGGAUGUGGGAUUAGCUAGUUGGCGGGUUAAAGGCCCACCAAGGCGACGAUCCGUAGCUGGUCUGAGAGGAUGGUCGGCGACAUUGGAACUGAGACACGGUCCAGACUCCUAAGGGAGGCAGCAGUGGGGAAUAUUGGACAGUGGGGGCGAACCUGAUCCAGCCAUACCGCGUGGGUGGAGAAGGCCUUCGGGUUGUAAAGCCCUUUUGUUGGGAAAGAAAAGCAGCAGGUUAAUACCACGCUGUUCUGACGGUACCGAAAGAAUAAGCACCGGCUAACUUCGUG
rnacentral:rRNA from 1 species